rnacentral:rRNA from 1 species
UACGUAGGGGGCAAGCGUUGUCCGGAUUUAUUGGGCGUAAAGAGCUCGUAGGUGGUUUGGUAAGUCGGAUGUGAAAUCUCCAGGCUCAACCUGGAGGGGUCAUUCGAUACUGCCAUGACUAGAGGUCGGUAGGGGAGUGUGGAAUUCCGGGUGUAGUGGUGAAAUGCGUAGAGAUCCGGAGGAACACCAGUGGCGAAGGCGACACGCUGGGCCGUACCUGACACUGAUGCGCGACAGCAUGGGGAGCAAACAGG